UCGAAUCUAUCAUCCAUUUGGAAGUUUUUAAGUUUAUCCUCUGCAGUUCUAUCUUCUGUUGGAAAUGACAUUUACAAGGUAAGAUCAUAACGGUGUUUCUUAUAAAAUCUAAGCAGGACAUGUUCAUGAGUAAGACAAACUACCUCAUACUUACUAGAUUUUUUAACUGGAUUUCUCCUAGGACAGGAUUUGAGCUUGAAAAGAGACCUGGAAGUGUCAGUAUACAAGAGAGCAAUGAAUGCAAAGCUGCAAAUUAUAAUAGUGACAACGGAAAUGGGCAGUUUCCCUUUCGAAGGUUUCAUUGCAGCGGACUGAGAGGGCGCUAAGCUCAUUGCU
rnacentral:lncRNA from 1 species